rnacentral:rRNA from 1 species
UACGGGGGAGCAAGCGUUGUUCGGAUUUACUGGGCGUAAAGGGCGCGUAGGCGGUCGUGACAAGUCACUUGUGAAAUCUCCGGGCUUAACUCGGAACGGUCAAGUGAUACUGUCGGACUAGAGUACAGAAGGGGCAACUGGAAUUCUCGGUGUAGCGGUGAAAUGCGCAGAUAUCAGGAGGAACACCAGCGGCGAAGGCGGCGCUCUGGGCCGGAACUGACGCUGAGGAGCGAAAGCGUGGGGAGCAAACAGG